CAGUCGCCACGGUAAUACGUAGGUGGCAAGCGUUGUCCGGAAUUAUUGGGCGUAAAGGGCUCGCAGGCGGUUUCUUAAGUCUGAUGUGAAAGCCCCCGGCUCAACCGGGGAGGGUCAUUGGAAACUGGGAAACUUGAGUGCAGAAGAGGAGAGUGGAAUUCCACGUGCAGCGGUGAAAUGCGUAGAGAUGUGGAGGAACACCAGUGGCGAAGGCGACUCUCUGGUCUGUAACUGACGCUGAGGAGCGAAAGCGUGGGGAGCGAACGGGAUUAGAUACCCCGGUAGUCCCUGUCUCUUAUAC
rnacentral:rRNA from 1 species